rfam:Capsicum annuum cultivar Zunla-1 chromosome 8, whole genome shotgun sequence
ACCUCAUGGUUUGGACAUUGCAUGAGUUUUCUAUUGAACCUCUCCCACACUUCGUACAAGGGUUCUCUAUUCAAUUGCCUAAAGUUCGUGAUCUCAUCACGCAAUU